GACGAACGCUGGCGGCGUGCCUAAUACAUGCAAGUAGGACGCAGUUGCGAACGGGUGAGUAACGCGUAGGUAACUACCUAUUAGAGGGGGAUAACUAUUGGAAACGAUAGCUAAUACCGCAUACUAGUAGAUGGACCUGCGUUGUAUUAGCUAGUAGGUGGGGUAACGGCUCACCUAGGCGACGAUCCCUAGCUGGUCUGGGAGGAGUACCGGCCACACUGGAACUGAGACACGGUCCAGACUCCUACGGGAGGCAGCAGUAGGGAAUCUGCGGCAAUGGGGGGAACCCUGACCGAGCAACGCCGCGUGAGUGAAGAAGGUUUUCGGAUCGUAAAGCUCUGUUGUUAAGGAAGCGGUACUUAACCAGAAAGGGACGGCUAACUACGUGCCAGCAGCCGCGGUAAUAC
rnacentral:rRNA from 1 species